AUGAACGCUGGCGGCGUGCCUAAUACAUGCAAGUCGAGCGAACGGACGAGAAGCUUGCUUUUCUGAUGUUAGCGGCGGACGGGUGAGUAACACGUGGAUAACCUACCUAUAAGACUGGGAUAACUUCGGGAAACCGGAGCUAAUACCGGAUAAUAUUUUGAACCGCAUGGUUCAAAAGUGAAAGACGGUCUUGCUGUCACUUAUAGAUGGAUCCGCGCUGCAUUAGCUAGUUGGUAAGGUAACGGCUUACCAAGGCAACGAUGCAUAGCCGACCUGAGAGGGGGAUCGGCCACACUGGAACUGAGACACGGUCCAGACUCCUACGGGAGGCAGCAGUAGGGAAUCUUCCGCAAUGGGCGAAAGCCUGACGGAGCAACGCCGCGUGAGUGAUGAAGGUCUUCGGAUCGUAAAACUCUGUUAUUAGGGAAGAACAUAUGUGUAAGUAACUGUGCACAUCUUGACGGUACCUAAUCAGAAAGCCACGGCUAACUACGUG
rnacentral:rRNA from 1 species